rnacentral:rRNA from 1 species
GAUGAACGCUGGCGGCGUGCCUAAUACAUGCAAGUCGAGCGAACAGAUAAGGAGCUUGCUCCUUUGACGUUAGCGGCGGACGGGUGAGUAACACGUGGGUAACCUACCUAUAAGACUGGGAUAACUUCGGGAAACCGGAGCUAAUACCGGAUAACAUUUGGAACCGCAUGGUUCUAAAGUGAAAGAUGGUUUUGCUAUCACUUAUAGAUGGACCCGCGCCGUAUUAGCUAGUUGGUAAGGUAACGGCUUACCAAGGCAACGAUACGUAGCCGACCUGAGAGGGUGAUCGGACACACUGGAACUGAGACACGGUCCAGACUCCUACGGGAGGCAGCAGUAGGGAAUCUUCCGCAAUGGGCGAAAGCCUGACGGAGCAACGCCGCGUGAGUGAUGAAGGGUUUCGGCUCGUAAAACUCUGUGAUUAGGGAAGAACAAAUGUGUAAGUAACUGUGCACGUCUUGACGGUACCUAAUCAGAAAGCCACGGCUAACUACGUG